rnacentral:rRNA from 1 species
GACGAACGCUGGCGGCGUGCUUAACACAUGCCAGUCGAACGGGAUUUAGUAGACAGAAGCCUCGGCUAAAGAUUACUAAUGAGAGUGGCGAACGGGUGAGUAACGCGUGAGCAACCUGCCUAUGACAGUGGGAUAGCCUCGGGAAACCGGGAUUAAUACCGCAUAACAUCGUAGAAACACAUGUUUCAACGGUCAAAGAUUUAUCGGUCAUAGAUGGGCUCGCGUCUGAUUAGCUAGUUGGUGAGAUAACAGCCCACCAAGGCGACGAUCAGUAGCCGGUCUGAGAGGAUGAACGGCCACAUUGGAACUGAGACACGGUCCAAACUCCUACGGGAGGCAGCAGUGGGGAAUAUUGCACAAUGGGGGAAACCCUGAUGCAGCGACGCCGCGUGAACGAAGAAGGUAUUCGUAUCGUAAAGUUCUGUCCUAUGGGAAGAUAAUGACAGUACCAUAGAAGAAAGCUCCGGCUAAAUACGUG